UACGUAGGGAGCAAGCGUUAUCCGGAUUUACUGGGUGUAAAGGGCGUGUAGGCGGGCCUGUAAGUUGGGAGUGAAAUCCGGGGGCUUAACCCCCGAACUGCUUUCAAAACUGCGGGUCUUGAGUGAUGGAGAGGCAGGCGGAAUUCCGUGUGUAGCGGUGAAAUGCGUAGAUAUACGGAGGAACACCAGUGGCGAAGGCGGAUUGCUGGACAGUAACUGACGCUGAGGCGCGAAAGCGUGGGGAGCAAACAGG
rnacentral:rRNA from 1 species